rnacentral:lncRNA from 1 species
UCCUGUUCUAAAACAAGUGAGUUUCCACAAAAGCUUUUAAUAUUUAAUGAAGGUCAAUGAAUGUCACAUGUGAGGAUCAACCUCAUUGAGUUUGUUAUGCAAAAAUAUAAGUUCUGCAUGUUGCCAAGAAUGUUUGUUAGGUCGAUGAGGCAGCCAUAGGAUGCGUGCGGCCGGUCAGAGGAAAGGCAGGGUACUAGCCCAAGGACGAGUUGGUUGCAGGAUAACCGUACUAGCAUAGGGCAGUUCUAUG